GGGAUCUUUGGAAUUAGGGUUUUUGAAUUCGAAGAGUAUAAGAGCAUGUUUAUAGGCAUACCUUAGGAAUGGUUUUUAGCUUAAUUCGGAAUUAAAAUAAAUGAAAAAUGGUGUUUAAAGGAAGAGGCGUCCCUUAAUUAGCACCUCGAAGACACGCCUCUUAUAGGGCACGUGUCGUAGUAUUACUGGGGGGACUCGCGGUGUCGGGGUUUCGAGCGUGUUUCUUUUUUUUCUUUUUUCUCUUUCGGUUCCUAUUCUCUCCUCGCGAAAGGCGAUGGCGAUUUGAAUGGCGAUUCUCUCCUCUUGGUGGCUCUCGUCGACGAAACGGUGACGGUUCUAGCGGUGGGUCUCGGCGACGAAGGGAAACGGAGACCUUUCUAUCAGUGGCUCUCAUCGACCAAGGAAAACGCCGACCUCUCUCUCUAUCGGUGGCUCUCUGAGACGGGUAACAACGGUGUUCCUUGCGGCUGAGGCGAAUCGAAAAGGUGGAUUGAUCAAGAGGCAUGAGCCAGUCUUUAGGUGAAUUGAUCAAGAGAAAUGCAGAGAUGGAGAUGAAAAAAAUGGAGGUAUGAUUCUCAAUCAAAAUACAUUGUGGACCGGUUUAAACAGAUUUGGUGUUGGUUUGGAUUGAAUAUUUAAUCGAAUAGUUUCUUUGAAAAUUAAUAAAUAUCUUUAAAUUGUUUUGAAGUUUGAAUUGAAAGUGUGAUCAAUGUGUGAAUUAAAUCGUUGGUUAGUGUGAUCAAUGCGCGAAUUGGAUCAAUGUUUGAAAGCGUUUCUAAUGAUUCUUCAUUUGUUUUCUGUGUUUGUGUCGCUACAUGGAUGAAUCGAGAGGCAUGAUACUGGCAUGAUCCAGGAUUGAUCAAGAGACGUGAAGUGGGCACAAAACCUGUCUCUUUGUCAGACAAAACCACCACGAUCGUAAAUGUUGGAGAGGUCACAAGAGUGUUGUAGUUGGAGAGGUCACGAGAGGUACAUGACAUGCUGUUGGAGAGGUCACGAGAGUGUUGUAGUGUUGUGUCUGUCAAGUAUUCAGGAGAGAGAGGUCACGAGAAGUGUAUGUUGUUGUUGUUGUGCUCUAGGUCACGAGAAAUUAUCUUUGUGUGUGUGUGUUUGUCACGAGAAGUGUAUGUUGUUGUUGUUGUACUCUAGUGUCACGAGAAAGGUUGUAAUUGUGUCUGUGUCACGAGACAUUUUUUAUCUUUAUAUAUGGAUGGCUCUUGUUAUAUAUGAUCACAAACACAUUCUUCUCUCUGUUCUUAUUUCUCUCUCUUUUUCAUCUCACAUUCUCUCCGGUUAUGGAAUGAUUAUGGAAUGAUUAUUUGAGGCCAUCUCCGGUUAUGGAAUGAUUAUUUCAGUGACGCUCCUAUAUAUCCAGAAAAUCUAUUCCGACGAUGAUUUAGAAUGAACAAGCCAUUGUUCAAACAUAUUGUUGAUCGUCUCUCCAAUGAAGUUCAAUUCUUUCGUCAGAAGAAAGACGUUGCCGGAAGGCUUGGUCUCUCCACACUUCAAAAGUGUACAGCAGCUAUUCGUGUGUUGGCAUAUGGUUCUGCGCUUGAUGCGGUCGACGAAUACCUCAGGCUCGGUGCAACCACUACUCGGUUAUGUGUGGAAAAUUUUGUGGAAGCAGUAAUAAAUUAGUUCAGUUCGGCGAUUAGUACCUAAGAAGACCAACACGGAUGAUCUUCAACGUCUACUUCAUAUUGGAGAGCUUGUGGAUUUCCCGGGAUGAUAGGAAGCAUCGAUUGUAUGCAUUGGGAGUGGAAGAAUUGUCCCACCGCUUGGAAAGGACAAUAUUCUCGUGGUUCGGGAAAAUCUACAAUCGUUUUAGAGGCGGUAGCUUCAUAUGAUCUCUGGAUAUGACAUGCGUUUUUUGGACCUCCAGGUACCUUAAAUGAUAUUAAUGUUCUUGAUCGCUCACAUGUUUUUGAUGACAUAAUAAAUGGUCGAGCCCCGCAAGUGAAUUUCUCGGUCGACAGAAGAGAGUACCAUUUGGCUUACUAUCUCACCGAUGGUAUUUAUCCAAAAAGAGCAACUUUUAUCCAAUUUAUUCCAAUUCCACAAGGGCCGAAAACAGUUUUAUUUAUGCAACGUCAAGAAGCUGUCCGAAAAGAUGUCGAGUGUGCUUUCGGAGUUUUGCAAGCUUGAUUUGCCAUUGUUAAAAAUCCGGCACUUUCGUGGGAUAAAGUCAAGAUUGAGAAGAUUAUGAGAGCAUGUAUCAUACUCCAUAAUAUGAUAGUGGAAGACGAACGAGAUGAAUACACUCAAUAUGAUGUCUCAGAUUUCCAACAAGGAGAAGAGAGCGGAAGUUCACAUGUCGAUCUCACCUAUUCUACAGAUAUCCCUACUAAUAUCGCCAAUCAGAUGGGUGUUCGAACAAGAAUUCAUGAUAGACAAGCGCAUCAACAACUGAAAGGUGAUUUUGUUGAACAUAUAUGGCGUAAAUUUGGAAGUGAUCAAGACAACAACUGAGCUUCGAUGCCUCUUUGAAAUUAUUAUCGUUUAUUUUAGUAAUUUUUGUUUUUAUGUUUUUAUGUUUGUACUUUAAAAUCUAUGUUUAAAAUGUUACGUUUGACUUUGUUUUAUUUAAUAAAUAAAUUUAAUAUUUUUAAAAA